rnacentral:rRNA from 1 species
CCUACGGGGAGCAGCAGUGGGGAAUAUUGCACAAUGGGGGAAACCCUGAUGCAGCGACGCCGCGUGAGUGAAGAAGUAUCUCGGUACGUAAAGCUCUAUCAACAGGGAAAAAAAUGACGGUACCUGACUAAGAAGCCCCGGCUAACUACGUGCCAGCAGCCGCGGUACUACGUAGGGUGCAAGCGUUAUCCGGAUUUACUGGGUGUAAAGGGAGCGUAGACGGCAGCACAAGUCUGGAGUGAAAUCCCGGGGCUUAACCCCGGAACUGCUUUGGAAACUGGGCGGCUGGAGUGCAGGAGGGGUAAGCGGAAUGCCUAGUGUAGCGGUGAAAUGCUUAGAUAUUAGGCGGAACCCCGGUGGCGAAGGCGGCUUACCGGACCGUAACUGACGUUGAGGCUCGAAAGCGUGGGGAGCAAACAGGAGUAGAUACCCCAGUAGUC